AGCAGUCGCCGCGGUAAUACGGAGGGGGCUAGCGUUGUUCGGAAUUACUGGGCGUAAAGCGCACGUAGGCGGCUGUGUAAGUCAGAGGUGAAAGCCCGGGGCUCAACCCCGGAAUAGCCUUUGAGACUGCAUAGCUUGAACACGGGAGAGGUGAGUGGAAUUCCGAGUGUAGAGGUGAAAUUCGUAGAUAUUCGGAAGAACACCAGUGGCGAAGGCGGCUCACUGGACCGUUGUUGACGCUGAGGUGCGAAAGCGUGGGGAGCAAACAGGAUUAGAGACCCCCGUAGUCCCUGUCUCUUAUAC
rnacentral:rRNA from 1 species